rnacentral:rRNA from 1 species
UGAAAUCCCCGGGGCUCUUUUUUGGGAAAAUGCAUUCAAAACUGGCAGGCUGGAGUCUUGUCAAAGGGGGGUAAAAUUCCAGGUGUAGCGGUGAAAUGCGUAGAGAUCUGGAGGAAUACCGGUGGCGAAGGCGGCCCCCUCGACAAAGACUGACGCUCAGGUGCGAAAGCGUGGGGAGCAAACAGGAUUAGAUACCCUGGUAGUCCACGCUGUAAACGAUGUCGACUUGGAGGUUGUUCCCUUGAGGAGUGGCUUCCGGAGCUAACGCGUUAAGUCGACCGCCUGGGGAGUACGGCCGCAAGGUUAAAACUCAAAUGAAUUGACGGGGGCCCGCACAAGCGGUGGAGCAUGUGGUUUAAUUCGAUGCAACGCGAAAAACCUUACCUACUCUUGACAUCCAAAGAAACUUAGCAGAGAUGCUUUGGUGCCUUUCGGGAACUCUGAGACAGGUGCUGCAUGGCUGUCUCACUCUGUUGUGAAAUGUUGGGUUAAGUCCCCAACAGCGCAACCCUUAUCCUUUGUUGCCGCGUUCGCGGGAACUCAAAGGAACUGCCAGUGAUAAACUGGAGAAGGGGGGAUGACGUCAGUCAUCAUGGCCCUUACGAUAGGGCUACCACGUGCUACAAUGGCAUAUACAAAGAAACGACCUCCGAGACAAGCGGACCUCAUAAAGUAUGUCGUAUCCGGAUUGGAGUCUGCAACUCGACUCCAUGAAGUCGGAAUCCUAGUAAUCGUGGAUCAAAUGCCACGGUGAAUACGUUCCCGGGCCUUGUACACACCGCCCGUCACACCAUGGGAGUGGGUUGCAAAAGAAGUAGGUAGCUUAACCUUCGGGAGGGCGCUUACCACUUUGUGAUUCAUGACUGGGGUGAAG